GUUUCUGUGGUGUAGCGGUUAUCACGUUCGCCUCACACGCGAAAGGCCCCUGGUUCGAAAGGCCCCUGGUUCGAGACCAGGCAGAAACA